rnacentral:misc_RNA from 1 species
GAUGAAGAACGCAGCGAAAUGCGAUAAGUAGUGUGAAUUGCAGAAUUCAGUGAAUCAUCGAAUCUUUGAACGCACAUUGCGCCCUUUGGUAUUCCUUAGGGCAUGCCUGUUCGAGCGUCAUUUAAACCUUCAAGCUAAGCUUGGUGUUGGGUGACUGUCCGCUUCACGGCGGACUCGCCUCAAAAUUAUUGGCGGCCGGUACAUUGGCUUCGAGCGCAGCAGAAACGCGAACUCGGGCCCGUCGUAUUGGCUCCCAGAAGCUAUCUUCACAAUUUUGACCUCGGAUCAGGUAGGGAUACACGCUGAACUUAAGCAUAUCAAUAAGCGGAGGA